CCGACUGCCUCCGUUGUUAACGUAUUUUCAUUUUUAGAGCGGCCAAUCGAUAAUCUUCUACGACUCUAUUCAGGAAGAAAAUCGUCAUUCGAGACCCACGUGUGUUUGACAACAGCUGACAAUUAGAUAUGGUGACGCGCUGUACCAAAAUUAACCAAUGUCGGGAAUCAACGAAAUUGCGCAGUAGAUUAUGCAUUCUCGGUAUGGAUGAGCCUAGCUGCCACUGAGGGUGGGGAGAGAACACAUGCCAAGAGAGAUCACCAGUUUGUUGGAGUACAUCAGCCAUUCCCCAUUUACCUGCAGGGGAUGAAGAAGCAUUGGCUAUAGGCCUACAACAUCCAAUAACUUCAUAUGUUUUGACAAUUUAAAGAGUGCAUUGUCACUUAAAUUGCCUACAUUACAGACAGAAACGUAUUUGCCAUUGACCAUUAAAGACAGCCAAAAGAAUAGUGAGACAGACCAAACUUUCUCAUAUAAAAGCUGCCACAAUUGAA